rnacentral:rRNA from 1 species
UUGUUUGAACCGCAUGGUUCAGACAUAAAAGGUGGCUUCGGCUACCACUUACAGAUGGACCCGCGGCGCAUUAGCUAGUUGGUGAGGUAACGGCUCACCAAGGCGACGAUGCGUAGCCGACCUGAGAGGGUGAUCGGCCACACUGGGACUGAGACACGGCCCAGACUCCUACGGGAGGCAGCAGUAGGGAAUCUUCCGCAAUGGACGAAAGUCUGACGGAGCAACGCCGCGUGAGUGAUGAAGGUUUUCGGAUCGUAAAGCUCUGUUGUUAGGGAAGAACAAGUGCCGUUCAAAUAGGGCGGCACCUUGACGGUACCUAACCAGAAAGCCACGGCUAACUACGUGCCAGCAGCCGCGGUAAUACGUAGGUGGCAAGCGUUGUCCGGGAAUUAUUGGGCGUAAAGGGCUCGCAGGCGGUUUCUUAAGUCUGAUGUGAAAGCCCCCGGCUCAACCGGGGAGGGUCAUUGGAAACUGGGGAACUUGAGUGCAGAGAGGAGAGUGCAUUCCACGUGUAGCGGGUGAAAUGCGUAGAGAUGUGGAGGAACCACCAGGUGGCGAAGGCGACUUUUCUGUCUGUAACUGACCGCU